rnacentral:rRNA from 1 species
GUGAGGAAUAUUGGUCAAUGGGCGAGAGCCUGAACCAGCCAAGUCGCGUGAAGGAAGAAGGAUCUAUGGUUCGUAAACUUCUUUUGCAGGGGAAUAAAGUGCGGGACGUGUCCUGUUUUGUAUGUACCCUGAGAAUAAGGAUCGGCUAACUCCGUGCCAGCAGCCGCGGUAAUACGGAGGAUCCGAGCGUUAUCCGGAUUUAUUGGGUUUAAAGGGUGCGUAGGUGGUUUGAUAAGUCAGCGGUGAAAGUUUGCAGCUUAACUGUAAAAAUGCCGUUGAAACUGUCGGACUUGAGUGUAAAUGAGGUAGGCGGAAUGCGUGGUGUAGCGGUGAAAUGCAUAGAUAUCACGCAGAACUCCGAUUGCGAAGGCAGCUUACUAAGCUACAACUGACACUGAAGCACGAAAGCGUGGGAAUCAAACAGGAUUAGAAACCCGUGUAGUCC